CGGGGAGUAGCUCAGUCUGGUAGAGUGUCUGCUUUGGGAGCAGAAAGUCGCAGGUUCGAAUCCUGUCUCCCCGA
rnacentral:tRNA from 1 species